UUUCUGAUAGAUGCUGGAUAUUAGACCUUCAUCAGAUGCAUAGUUUGAAAAUACUUUCUCUCAUUGUGUAGGUUGUCAGUUUACUCUGUUUAUAGUUUAUUUUGCUGUGUGAAAGUUUAUCAUUUU